CACCGCGGUUAUACGAGAGGCUCAAGUUGAUAAACCCCGGCGUAAAGAGUGGUUAAGAAAGACUAGAAACUAAAGCCGAAUGCUUUCAAAGCUGUUAUACGCUCCCGAAAGUAAGAAGAUCAAUCACGAAAGUGGCUUUACAAUCCCCUGACCCCACGAAAGCUAUGGCA
rnacentral:rRNA from 1 species